rnacentral:rRNA from 1 species
CGCUAUCACUCCUACGGGAGGCAGCAGUGGGAAUAUUGCACAAUGGGGGAAACCUUGAUGCAGCCAUGCCGCGUGUGUGAAGAAGGCCUUCGGGUUGUAAAGCACUUUCAGUAGGGAGGAAGGUAGUGUAGUUAACACCUGCACUUAUUUGACGUUACCUACAGAAGAAGCACCGGCUAAACUCCGUGCCAGCAGCCGCGGUAAUACGGAGGGUGCGAGCGUUAAUCGGAAUUACUGGGCGUAAAGCGCAUGCAGGCGGCCUGUUAAGUCAGAUGUGAAAGCCCGGGGCUUAACCUCGGAAUUGCAUUUGAAACUGGCAGGCUAGAGUCUUGUAGAGGGGGUAGAAUUUCAGGUGUAGCGGUGAAAUGCGUAGAGAUCUGAAGGAAUACCAGUGGCGAAGGCGGCCCCCUGGACAAAGACUGACGCUCAGAUGCGAAAGCGUGGGGAGCAAACAGGAUUAGAUACCCUGGUAG